rnacentral:lncRNA from 1 species
GGGAGAUGUUGUCUAUAGGAGCCUAGUGGGAGAGCAUAUUGCCCAAACAGCACAGUUAACAAUGGGUGGGUUAAACAGCUCAAAGCUAUAAUCAGUAAUUGCAAAAAAGGAAGAAAACUUUAGUUCCUAGCUACUUAACCAUCAAAGGCUAACUCUCUGCCAGUUUCACCUUCAGGUUGAAAUCUCCCUCAGUAGGGAAUGUCAGUUAACUGGUAGGGAGUACGAUAUCUGGCCUGUGUACAGCAGCUGUUCACGCUUAAAGAACUUGAUGGACAAUAACUCUGCUAAAAACCAUGUUCACUUGCUUCCAUUUGUUUAGAUGGGCUAAGUAAAACAAAGAGCUUCCCAAAGGAAUAGAGGGAGACGUCUGAUUCAGCACUUGGUGGGCACACUGGGCUUGAAAUGAGAGAAGGGAGAAGCGAAACCUCUCAAGCAGUGGCCUUUUCCCUUGAGUAAGGCGGUCACAAGCCAAGCCUCCUCCCUAUGGGGGACCUCGGUGACACACAAGCCGGUGUACCUUCCC